rnacentral:lncRNA from 1 species
GUGGGAUGGGUGGGGGGUAACGGGGGAAACUGGGGAAGUGGGGAACCGAGGGGCAACCAGGGGAAGAUGGGGUGCUGGAGGAGAGCUUGUGGGAGCCAAGGAGCACCUUGGACAUCUGGAGUCUGGCAGGAGUGAUGACGGGUGGAGGGGCUAGCUCGGGGCAGGGCUGGUGGGGCCUGAGGCCAGUGAGGAGUGUGGAGUAGGCGCCCAGGCAUCGUGCAGACAGGGCGACAUCAGCUGGGGACGAUGGGCCUGAGCUAGGGCUGGAAAGAAGGGGGAGCCAGGCAUUCAUCCCGGUCACUUUUGGUUACAGGACGUGGCAGCUGGUUGGACGAGGGGAGCUGGUGGGCAGGGGUCUGGUGCGGAGAGGGCCCACAGUGGACUUGGUGACGCUGUAUGCCCUCACCGCUCAGCCCCUGGGGCUGGCUUGGCAGACAGUACAGCAUCCAGGGGAGUCAAGGGCAUGGGGCGAGACCAGACUAGGCGAGGCGGGCGGGGCGGAGUGAAUGAGCUCUCAGGAGGGAGGCUCGUGCAGGCAGGGGUGAGGAGCGCAGCCGGCGGCGAGCGGGAGGCACUGGCCUCCAGAGCCCGUGGCCAAGGCGGGCCUCGCGGGCGGCGACGGAGCCGGGAUCGGUGCCUCAGCGUUCGGGCUGGAGACGAGGCCAGGUCUCCAGCUGGGGUGGACGUGCCCACCAGCCGCCGAAGGCCAGGACGCCAGGUCCGGUGGACGUGACAAGCAGGACGUGACAUGGUCCGGUGUGACGGCGAGGACAGAGGAGGCGCGUCCGGCCUUCCUGAACACCUUAGGCUGGUGGGGCUGCGGCAAGAAGCGGGUCUGUUUCUUUACUUCCUCCACGGAGUCGGCACACUAUGGCUGCCCUCUGGGCUCCCAGAACCCACAACAUGAAAGGUGAGGGGCUUCCUGCCACACUUGGGGUGGGGGGCACGCGAGAGGAGCUGAGUGGGACCUCACUCCUUCCCCAUCCACAGAAAUGGUGCUACCCAGCUCAAGCCUGGGCCUUUGAAUCCGGACACAAAACCCUCUAGCUUGGAAAUGAAUAUGCUGCACUUUACAACCACUGCACUACCCGACUCAGGAAUCGGCUCUGGAAGGUGAAGCUAGAGGAACCAGACCUCAUCAGCCCAACAUCAAAGACACCAUCGGAACAGCAGCGCCCGCAGCACCCACCCCGCACCGGCGACUCCAUCUUCAUGGCCACCCCCUGCGGCGGACGGUUGACCACCAGCCACCACAUCAUCCCAGAGCUGAGCUCCUCCAGCGGGAUGACGCCGUCCCCACCACCUCCCUCUUCUUCUUUUUCAUCCUUCUGUCUCUUUGUUUCUGAGCUUUCCUGUCUUUCCUUUUUUCUGAGAGAUUCAAAGCCUCCACGACUCUGUUUCCCCCGUCCCUUCUGAAUUUAAUUUGCACUAAGUCAUUUGCACUGGUUGGAGUUGUGGAGACGGCCUUGAGUCUUGGUGCGAGUGUGUGUGAGUGUGAGCCACCUUGGCAAGUGCCCGCCCAGGGCCCGGCCGCCCUCCAUCUGGGCCGGGUGACUGGGCGCCGGCUGUGUGCCCGAGGCCUCACCCUGCCCUCGCCUAGUCUGGAAGCUCCGACCGACAUCACGGAGCAGCCUUCAAGCAUUCCAUUACACCCAUCUCGCUCUGUGCCCCUCCCCACCAGGGCUUCAGCA